rnacentral:rRNA from 1 species
AUAUUAACGGCGUAAAACACGACUAAUAAAAUGUCCUAGUAUUAGGAAAGAAGCUAAACUAGGCUGUAAAAAGCCAUAAGCCACACUAACCACCCUAAUAAAAAACAGCUUCCACUCGUGAAAGCCAGGAUACAAACUAAGAUUAGAUACCUUACUAUGCCUAGCUAUAACACAACAAUUAAAUUACCCAUUGUUCGCCAAAUAACUACGAGUGAAAACUUAAAAUUUAAAAGACUUGACGGUACCUCAAAACAACCUAGAGGAGCCUGUCUAAUAACCGAUACUCCACGAUUAACCCAACCCGCCCUAGCCUAACAGUCUAUAUACCGCCGUCGCCAGCCUACCUUGUGAAAGAAACAAAGUAAGCCAACUAGC